GACGUGAGGGGCAAGCGUUAUUCGGAAUUACUGGGCGUAAAGGGCUCGUAGGCGGCUAACUAAGUCAUACGUGAAAUCCCUCAGCUUAACUGGGGAACUGCGUGUGAUACUGGAUGGCUUGGAUUUGGGAGAGGGAUGCGGAAUUCCAGGUGUAGCGGUGAAAUGCGUAGAUAUCUGGAGGAACACCGGUGGCGAAGGCGGCAUCCUGGACCAAUACUGACGCUGAGGAGCGAAAGCCAGGGGAGCAAACGGG
rnacentral:rRNA from 1 species